AUUGAACGCUGGCGGCAGGCUUAACACAUGCAAGUCGAGCGGAGAUGAGGUGCUUGCACCUUAUCUUAGCGGCGGACGGGUGAGUAAUGCUUAGGAAUCUGCCUAUUAGUGGGGGACAACAUUCCGAAAGGAAUGCUAAUACCGCAUACGCCCUACGGGGGAAAGCAGGGGAUCUUCGGACCUUGCGCUAAUAGAUGAGCCUAAGUCGGAUUAGCUAGUUGGUGGGGUAAAGGCCUACCAAGGCGAAGAUCUGUAGCGGGUCUGAGAGGAUGAUCCGCCACACUGGGACUGAGACACGGCCCAGACUCCUACGGGGGGCAGCAGUGGGGAAUAUUGGAAAAUGGGCGGAAGCCUGAUCCAGCCAUGCCGCGUGUGUGAAGAAGGCCUUUUGGUUGUAAAGCACUUUAAGCGAGGAGGAGGCUACCUGGAUUAAUACUCUAGGAUAGUGGACGUUACUCGCAGAAUAAGCACCGGCUAACUCUGUGCCAGCCGCCGCAGUAAUAC
rnacentral:rRNA from 1 species